AUUGAACGCUGGCGGCAUGCCUUACACAUGCAAGUCGAACGGUAACAGGUCUUCGGAUGCUGACGAGUGGCGAACGGGUGAGUAAUACAUCGGAACGUGCCUAGUAGUGGGGGAUAACUACUCGAAAGAGUGGCUAAUACCGCAUGAGAUCUACGGAUGAAAGCAGGGGAUAGCAAGACCUUGUGCUACUAGAGCGGCCGAUGGCAGAUUAGGUAGUUGGUGGGAUAAAAGCGUACCAAGCCGACGAUCUGUAGCUGGUCUGAGAGGACGAUCAGCCACACUGGGACUGAGACACGGCCCAGACUCCUACGGGAGGCAGCAGUGGGGAAUUUUGGACAAUGGGCGCAAGCCUGAUCCAGCAAUGCCGCGUGCAGGAUGAAGGCCUUCGGGUUGUAAACUGCUUUUGUACGGAGCGAAAAGCCCUGGGUUAAUACCCUGGGGUCAUGACGGUACCGUAAGAAUAAGCACCGGCUAACUACGUGCCAGCCGCCGCGGUAAAAC
rnacentral:rRNA from 1 species